CGAAUCCUGAUAUGUUCGUUUAGCUGCAUACUCUUAUAAACAGUUUUGACCGAACAAUUAAUCGUUGGGAGCCUUCUAUUUUGUGUCAGCAAACAAGCCCCAAAGUGAGCGGGAAGUUUAAAGUUACAAAGCGGGCACCCACCUGCAAGAACGUGGGUUCAAAACGAAUGUUUUUCUUGCAUUACGGCAUAAUUGGGAUUCGU
rnacentral:other from 1 species